UACCAGCACCCCGAGUGGUCGGGACGAUUAUUGGGCCUAAAGCAUCCGUAGCCGGUUCUACAAGUCUUCCGUUAAAUCCACCUGCUUAACAGAUGGGCUGCGGAGGAUACUAUAGAGCUAGGAGGCGGGAGAGGCAAGCGGUACUUAGUGGGUAGGGGUAAAAUCCGUUGAUCCAUUGAAGACCACCAGUGGCGAAGGCGGCUUGCCAGAACACACUCGACGGUGAGGGAUGAAAGCUGGGGGAGCAAACCGG
rnacentral:rRNA from 1 species